rnacentral:rRNA from 1 species
UUAAGCGACUAAGCGUACACGGUGGAUGCCCUGGCAGUCAGAGGCGAUGAAGGACGUGCUAAUCUGCGAAAAGCGUCGGUAAGGUGAUAUGAACCGUUAUAACCGGCGAUGUCCGAAUGGGGAAACCCAGUGUGAUUCGUCACACUAUCGUUAACUGAAUACAUAGGUUAACGAGGCGAACCGGGGGAACUGAAACAUCUAAGUACCCCGAGGAAAAGAAAUCAACCGAGAUUCCCCCAGUAGCGGCGAGCGAACGGGGAGCAGCCCAGAGUCUGAAUCAGCUUGUGUGUUAGUGGAACGGUCUGGAAAGUCCGACGGUACAGGGUGAUAGUCCCGUACACCAAAAUGCACAGGNUGUGAACUCGAAGAGUAGGGCGGGACACGUGGUAUCCUGUCUGAAUAUGGGGGGACCAUCCUCCAAGGCUAAAUACUCCUGACUGACCGAUAGUGAACCAGUACCGUGAGGGAAAGGCGAAAAGAACCCCGGCGAGGGGAGUGAAAAAGAACCUGAAACCGUGUACGUACAAGCAGUGGGAGCACCUUCGGGUGUGACUGCGUACCUUUUGUAUAAUGGGUCAGCGACUUAUAUUCUGUAGCAAGGUUAACCGUAUAGGGGAGCCGCAGGGAAACCGAGUCUUAACUGGGCGUUAAGUUGCAGGGUAUAGACCCGAAACCCGGUGAUCUAGCCAUGGGCAGGUUGAAGGUUGGGUAACACUAACUGGAGGACCGAACCGACUAAUGUUGAAAAAUUAGCGGAUGACUUGUGGCUGGGGGUGAAAGGCCAAUCAAACCGGGAGAUAGCUGGUUCUCCCCGAAAGCUAUUUAGGUAGCGCCUCGUGAACUCAUCUUCGGGGGUAGAGCACUGUUUCGGCUAGGGGGUCAUCCCGACUUACCAACCCGAUGCAAACUACGAAUACCGAAGAAUGUUAUCACGGGAGACACACGGCGGGUGCUAACGUCCGUCGUGAAGAGGGAAACAACCCAGACCGCCAGCUAAGGUCCCAAAGUCAUGGUUAAGUGGGAAACGAUGUGGGAAGGCACAGACAGCCAGGAUGUUGGCUUAGAAGCAGCCAUCAUUUAAAGAAAGCGUAAUAGCUCACUGGUCGAGUCGGCCUGCGCGGAAGAUGUAACGGGGCUAAACCAUGCACCGAAGCUGCGGCAGCGACACUAUGUGUUGUUGGGUAGGGGAGCGUUCUGUAAGCCUGCGAAGGUGUGCUGUGAGGCAUGCUGGAGGUAUCAGAAGUGCGAAUGCUGACAUAAGUAACGAUAAAGCGGGUGAAAAGCCCGCUCGCCGGAAGACCAAGGGUUCCUGUCCAACGUUAAUCGGGGCAGGGUGAGUCGACCCCUAAGGCGAGGCCGAAAGGCGUAGUCGAUGGGAAACAGGUUAAUAUUCCUGUACUUGGUGUUACUGCGAAGGGGGGACGGAGAAGGCUAUGUUAGCCGGGCGACGGUUGUCCCGGUUUAAGCAUGUAGGCUGGUUNAAAUCGUACCCCAAACCGACACAGGUGGUCAGGUAGAGAAUACCAAGGCGCUUGAGAGAACUCGGGUGAAGGAACUAGGCAAAAUGGUGCCGUAACUUCGGGAGAAGGCACGCUGGUGUGUAGGUGAAGUCCCUGCGGAUGGAGCUGAGACCAGUCGAAGAUACCAGCUGGCUGCAACUGUUUAUUAAAAACACAGCACUGUGCAAACACGAAAGUGGACGUAUACGGUGUGACGCCUGCCCGGUGCCGGAAGGUUAAUUGAUGGGGUUAUCCGUAAGGAGAAGCUCUUGAUCGAAGCCCCGGUAAACGGCGGCCGUAACUAUAACGGUCCUAAGGUAGCGAAAUUCCUUGUCGGGUAAGUUCCGACCUGCACGAAUGGCGUAAUGAUGGCCAGGCUGUCUCCACCCGAGACUCAGUGAAAUUGAACUCGCUGUGAAGAUGCAGUGUACCCGCGGCAAGACGGAAAGACCCCGUGAACCUUUACUAUAGCUUGACACUGAACAUUGAGCCUUGAUGUGUAGGAUAGGUGGGAGGCUUUGAAGCGUGGACGCCAGUCUGCGUGGAGCCAACCUUGAAAUACCACCCUUUAAUGUUUGAUGUUCUAACGUUGGCCCCUNACCGGGGUUGCGGACAGUGUCUGGUGGGUAGUUUGACUGGGGCGGUCUCCUCCCAAAGCGUAACGGAGGAGCACGAAGGUUAGCUAAUCCUGGUCGGACAUCAGGAGGUUAGUGCAAUGGCAUAAGCUAGCUUGACUGCGAGCGUGACGGCGCGAGCAGGUGCGAAAGCAGGUCAUAGUGAUCCGGUGGUUCUGAAUGGAAGGGCCAUCGCUCAACGGAUAAAAGGUACUCCGGGGAUAACAGGCUGAUACCGCCCAAGAGUUCAUAUCGACGGCGGUGUUUGGCACCUCGAUGUCGGCUCAUCACAUCCUGGGGCUGAAGUAGGUCCCAAGGGUAUGGCUGUUCGCCAUUUAAAGUGGUACGCGAGCUGGGUUUAGAACGUCGUGAGACAGUUCGGUCCCUAUCUGCCGUGGGCGCUGGAGAAUUGAGGGGGGCUGCUCCUAGUACGAGAGGACCGGAGUGGACGCAUCACUGGUGUUCGGGUUGUCAUGCCAAUGGCACUGCCCGGUAGCUAAAUGCGGAAGAGAUAAGUGCUGAAAGCAUCUAAGCACGAAACUUGCCCCGAGAUGAGUUCUCCCUGAGACUUUAAGUCUCCUGAAGGAACGUUGAAGACGACGACGUUGAUAGGCCGGGUGUGUAAGCGCAGCGAUGCGUUGAGCUAACCGGUACUAAUGAACCGUGAGGCUUAACCUU